CUGCAGUGAGAGCAGCACAGUCAUAGAUUAUAAUCAAGUCUGGGCAGGAGUCAGGGGUGAAGAUGAAGAGAACCAGAUGUAAUUUCACUCUGACCUCUGGGUUUUGUGGAGUUGUGGAUGAAGAAAAUGGAUUAUGGACUCUUCAAAGCUUUCAGAAGUAUAGCAGAGGCCAACAGGACAGUAAGAACUGAAUGCAAAGUUCACCGUGUGCUUUUGUGGCUAGAAGACGAAAUUCAGGAGUUUUGGAAAGAGGAGGCUAAAAACUGGUCCUGAAACCUGCUGAGCUCAACCACAGCUGGAAGGAUACAACAGCUGGCUUCACAUCUGUUUCAAUCAGGAUAAAUCUAUCCCACUCUUAAUCAGUCAUGACAGAGCCAUCUUCAGGCUGGUGGAAGUUCACGUUCCUGAGGAGAAAAAAAUCCCAACCCAAGGUUCUGUAUGAAAUCCCUGCAGAUGUUGUUUCCAAUGCCACUAGUGGCCAGCAUGGGUCGGGGGCUGCAACCGGAGCCGUCGCCCAUGCAGAGGUAACCAUGCACGACUCCCAGCUGGACGCUCGCUUGGAGAGGAUCGUGGAUAAAACAACGGCCAGCAAGGGGCGCCAUGUCAAGGUGUCCCACUCUGGAAGGUUUAAGGAAAAGAAGAAAAUGCGAGCCACGCUCGCAGAGAGCCCAGAGAUGUUUCCAGGAGGUCCAGAGGGCUGACGUGACAGGACACACAAAUACUCAGAAAAUAAAUAUGAAUGAACUAACACAAAGACAUAGAAACAUAAAGACACAAUCACAGAUCCAUUUAAAGAACCAUUUCAAUUUUUGUGCAUUUAAGGCUCUGUCAGUUUUUAUAGAGCCAUAAAAUCCAAAUCUGGGAAAAUCCUGAUUUUUAAUAUCUUGUCCUGCGCUCUUAGGGACAUCUAGUGGUCAUUAUAGGAACUGUGGUGGUUUCUGCUUCAUAAUGGGACAACAGCAGUGUCAACCUUUCCUGUAAAUCUUCAACCACUAUAUUGUCUACCUGCACUGGGAUCAAGCCUGUGACCUUUCAUUUGGUGGAUGGCCCAUUUAACUAGUAGAGCAACCUGCCCUGUCACAGCAUAAGAAGCACGGGAUCAUUUUUGCUGCACUUUGCCCCAGCUGUCGAGGCCACUGUGACCAGGCCUCUGGAGCUCCUGUGAGACUGCAACUGUACAGUCAUGGACAGUUUCUUGAACUCAGAGUCAGGAUCCAAAAAUAUGUUUUGGAAAAAAAAAAGACACACAAUCACGAACAAAAACCAGCCUGUAGAUGUCAAAAUGAUAGAGGGAACAUUUGUAAAGCAAAUCACAAAGGUUGGAGGUGACCUCUCUUGACUCUAGAUUGGCAAUUAAUAAUAAGGUUCAGGUAUAUACUGUAUUUUGUUAUUACAUACCUUUAACCAAUCAUAUCGGUUGAUUGAUAAUAUCUGUGGUAAAUGUGCAAUAAUGGUUUUUGAAGUCAAACUAGAAUAGGUGCAUUUUCUGAAGAAAAUGUGUGUGAUUGCUACAUCUGCUGCUGUUACUUCACAUUAAUCAAAUGUGUGUAGAUUGUCAAAACAUAUAUUGCAUUUUCACAGUAAGCACAAGGGACAUAGUUACAAUUUUCUGAUAUUCCAUUUUAUAAAUACAACAGAAUUGUAGAAAUAUCAUAUUAUGUUAUUAAAAAAUGUGUUGCCCAUAUCAAUCGAAUCGUACGGUGGCCCUGAGGGCUCAAUGCACAGCAACUUAAAAACAAAUGCAAACAGUCAAAACUCAAACAAAUUCAGAAAACAUCUUCAUCACAUUUGACAACAGAUGUGCUGCAAAUACUCACAAUACAACCAAAUACAUAAACAUGCUGCAAGUAGCACAGAUGACCCCGGAAGUGUGUGGAAACAAAGGUUAUGAACCCAGCUGCGGCGCACUUGCAUGGAUGUAUAAUAAUACAUAUAAUUCAAUGCUUUUAACUUCAAAAGUCACAAAGCAUUGAACAACAUGUGCGCCCCAUCUGGGUUCAUCACUUUUAGUGACCCCUUGAAAACACUUCCGGCUACUUGCAGCAUGUUUGUAUUAUUUGGUUGUGUUGUAUUUGCAGCACAUCUGUUGUUAAAUUAAUAAAGCUGUUCUCUGAAUUUGUUUGUUUUGACUGUUUGCAUGUUGUUUAAGUUGCAGUGUGUUGAUCUCUCAGUGCCAUGGUAGAAUUAAUCCAGGGAACCCACUGUACGAAAAUAUUUCCUGUAACAGUUCAUGAGUAAAAUGCUUAAGAACUAACCAAAGGUGGUGCUGUUGAAUACAUACUCUAAUAUGUUGAGCGUAUCUCCAUGGGGCACCUGUGUACCAUUGUAUCAACUAUGUCUCUUCAUUUUCUUGUGUUAAGUAUGGUGUCCCUCAGGGGUCAGUUCUGGGACCAGUUUUACAUGCUUUCCAUUGAACACAUUAUUCAGAGACGGAGUGUCUCUUUCCACUACUUUGCUGGAAAGCUGGGUUCACUUAAUCUCUGCCUUCAUGAUGUUGUACAAAUUUUCUUCUGCUAAAUUUAAACAAAACAAAAAUGAUUAUCUUUGGAUCCCAGCACAUGGGAAAUUCUGCCAUCUGCUGGUCCUAUGGAACACAUCACUGUCAUGGAAUAUCUUGGGUUAUGUCAGAAAUCACUCACUACUCACUUUUUGAUUUUGAAAAAAGCUCUAUAAAUAAAGAUUAUUGUUGUUGUUAUUAUUAUUAUUAUUAUUAUCAUUUUUAUUAUUUGUAAAUAUUUAUAAAAAUGUUCACAAUUUUCUGUGAUUGUUUAAAUUUGGUAGCCUAUGUCAAUCCUGCAAAAUGCAAUGUAUGUAUUAUAAACAUUUUUUGUAAAUCUAUUGUUGAUGUAUAUCAACAUAUAUAUAUAUAAAAUGAUUUUAAUAGUAAAGCCAAGUAAUAGCCGAGUGUAUCAUUUAUCAGCAGUGCAAGCAGAUUAAAAGACUGUCACACAAUGUUCAUGAGCAAUGAUCACUAUAAUAAUAAAUCACCUGAUCUGCACAAAGCUGUCGGGGUCACUUCAAAACCACAAGAGGAGUCCUCACUCCAUGUCAAAAGUAUGUUCCUGAACCUUGGCACCACAAUGAAAAGAUGACACUGUUUGGUACAAUGAGGCCCUCCAGUGGUCAGAGCCAAAACUAUUAACAAUCUCCAUAUUUGAAUGGAGAUUGUUGAGCUCACAUCCUAGACAAUACACAGCAAUACAUACUGGUUUAUUUUAUUGUAAAAGUCAUCAUAUGAUAAUAAUAGAAUUUAUCCUAAACUGUUUACUGAGCUCUGAAGGCAGCUCCGUCCUUUUUGCUCUGAUCUGCAUUGUCAGCUGUGAGACUUUGUCUUUCCAAAUCAAGUUGAAUCAGUUUGCCACAGGUGGACUUCAAUCAAGGUGUAGAAACAUCUCAGAGAUGAUCCAGAGAAAUGGAGGAACCUCAACUAAACUUCAAAUGUCGUAGCAAAGUGUCUGAAUACUUAUAUAUUGAUGUGAUAUUUCAGUUUUUCCUUUUUAAAAAUAUCUUAAAACUUCUGUUUUUACGUUGUCAUUAUGGGGCAUUGUGUGUAAAUUGAUGAGGGAAAUAAUGAAUUUAAAUAGUUAGAAGAAGGCUGCAACAUAACAAUGUGAAAAAAGUGAAGGGCUUGAAGACUUUCUGAAUGCACUGUACAUGCAACUGACGUGGAUUAGUGACAAAUAAGAGAAGUUAAAGGAUGAAAUUUGAAUUGGAAAAUUAUCAUAAUAAAAACAUUAGAACA